AUUCGGCCCUAAAGUACAUGGGCCACGCACGCCUCCAUGUCCUCCUCUUCCUCGUGAGCGCGAGCGCCGAUUGCCUUCUCCGGCCGCCUCUUCGUCUCCGCCGCAUGCCGCCGCCGCCUCGGCUCCCUCAAGUGGCUUGAGAACUAAUGCACAUUGAGGAAAUUUCCGGGAGAUGAGCAAUGGAUGUAUGCCAAAGGGUGCACAGGUGCAGGAAGUCCAAGCGCCUGGAACUUGUGUGUCAGUGUGUGAAUGCCUCAAGGUGUGCAUACUGCAUAUCUAUUGACAUACAACCUAUAAUUACUAUUAUUAGUAAUCAUUGCAUGUACAAAGCAUGUCAUGGUCAAUAUGAUCAAACAAUAUAUUGUAAGCACAAGAAUUAAUGUUUCUUAGAAUUGCUUUGUUAGUAAUCAUGCAUGUGCAAAGCAUGCCAUGGUCAAUAAUAUCAAAAAAUAUAUUGCAUGGACAAGAAUUCACGUUUCUUUGAAUUGCAUUAUUAGAGCAUCUCCAACAAUCUCUCUAAAUCCCACUCUCCAAAUAUCUAUUUUGCCAACUCUAUCUAAUUUAGCUAGUCAAACAGUCUUUUACUCCAACAGCCUUCCCAUUCAUCCUCUCUAUUCUGAGUCUAUGACAGUAGGGCCCACAUGUCAGUCUCUACCACUUUCUUCUUCCUCCCCUUCUCUCCAAAUCCCCUUCCCUCUCCCCUCUGUUACCGCCGCCCCAUCCCUAUUCGCCCAUCGCCAAUGCUCGGGCUCCGUCUGCCGGUGCCCUUCUAGCCGAGCUCUCACCGGCCGCCUCGUCUCCCUCAACCUCGCCGUCGAGCAACGCCGCCACCGCCACUCCCUCCCAUCUCCAACCCACCCGGCGGAUGAGGCGGCGGCAGGUCUCCGGCGUGCGCGGUAACGACGCUCUAGCGCGAGUCGACGGCCGGCGGGGCGGCGGCCGCGGGCCUUCCUGCUCCCUUGUGCGGCGAGACAGGUAGCGGCCGUGGGUUUCCGGCACGACGAAGACAGGCGGCGGUCGCGGGGGUCCUGACGCGGCGAAGGCAGGCGGCGGCCGCAGGGUUCCGACAUGGUGAAGGUAGGUGGCGGCGGCGGGGCUCCCGGCGCAGCGAGUCAAGCGGCAGCUAGGCUUCCGGCGCGGCAAGGUAAGCAGUGGCCCGGGCCUUCUGGCGCCUUGCCAGCCUUCCUCGUUCCUCCCUCGCCGUCGAGCCGCCCCGUCGCCCUCGUCAUGCCGCCGAUGGCCGACGCCGAAGAAGGACUCAUGCGUCGUCAAGCCGCCCCGUCGACGACAGCAACGGCAACCUCGGGGACGACGGCAGUGGAUGGCGAUGACUGGCGACAGCGGCUGGCGACCUCGACGAUGAUGGUGGCGCUUCGGCGUGGGUUCAAGAUGCACGGCGCCUGCGUCGGUGGCAGCGUCGAGGUCGUGGCUGCCUGCGCCAUUGUAGAGAAGAGCCGAAGGAGAUGGGGGGGGGGGGGGGGAAUCUGUGUGGGUCUCAUGGUUGGCCAGUGAUUUUUGGGCUGGCCAAAUUUGGCUAGUGGAGGGGGGUUUUGGGCAGCCGCGGAUGGCUGCUUAGCCAUCCGGUUGGAGAGGCUGUUGGAGCUUUUUUUUUUUUUUUUUUUUACUAGAAUGGCUAAAAUUUGGCUUGGAGAGUGGGAUGGAGAGACUGUUGGAGAUGCUCUUACAGCAGUCAAAUAACAUUGAAGGUACAACGUACUCUCUGAAUAUUUCAGUUGCUUUCAUUGUAUAAACAAUAAUUAACUAAAUCUCUUCGUACGCAAUGGGAGAACAUUAUCACACUGAUGUUCCUGCUGCAAAACAAAGAGACAUAACAUUUUAGUCUUCUAGUAAACCAGAAGGACCAGAAACGGAAAAAAAAAGAAUUCAGUUUAUUAGUUUAGAAAUUCGAACUCUGAUAGAAUGAUAUUUUCUAAUUCAUGAAAUCCAAAAAAAUGUACUUGACAUACAAGUCAAGAUUCUUGAUUUUUGAAGGGGUGAUACCUGUUCUGGAACGAAGGGGGAAAAAGGGAUUCAUUAUGGCAACAGCCCACAUAACUUAUUUCUAGAUUCUGUUAUUUUUCAUUCCUCUUCAUUAGGUAUAUAUGAUGAUAUGGCUGUUUUUUUGUCUUACAACACAAGGUGAGAUGCACUGCAAAAUGCCGGUGUAUAGAAUGCAGAAACGGCCCUGGAAUAAAGAGUGAGUACUGUAAGCUGUUAUUUUUGUUUCCUCGUCUCAUCACAUCAUAAGUGUGUAGUGUGUACUCAAUUGAUUUUGGAGUAACUUGGGAAGGACCCCAUUUUGUUCUUCACCCAUGUCAUUUGUUUUAUCUUGCCUAUAUUUAUCUGACCUGACAAAACAGGUGAUUCAAACACUGAAACAGAUCAUUGUGAUGCUAGUGGCCUAACCUAUGAAGAAUCUAUCGUGGAAAACACCACACAAUAUGAGGGGACUUCGAAUCGAAACAAACGCCCAAGAAAUUUUUGAUAACAACCUUCAGAUCGUGUUACCUUACCAUCCUCAACCUCAAGACAAUAGCCACUUUCUGCCAAAAAUGCAACUGUAAACACAAUCAUCCCUUGCAAAAUCUCAAAGCACGGUAAGGCCUUCAUACUCCAUGACCCUUCAAACCUUUGCGAAAUCUCAAAGCAUGGUAAGACCUUCAUACUCCAUGGCCCUUCAAACCUUGUCACCCACUCGAUAGUCUCAGUGGGUUCAGUUGACGUUGCACCUGAUCAAAAACUAUGGGGACAGUUGUCACCUUCGGUUAGUAUCAACCAUACUUUUGCCGAAGAGGUAUAUAAACAUUUCACUCAUAUAUGAAAUGCUUUUUUUUGUCAUGCAAAGGUUAUAUUCUUGGGUAUCCAGAAUCUUUGAAUUCUUCAGUGAUGAGAGAGCACAAGUAGUAUGAAGUAUAAACAUGAUUGCAAGUACAAGUAGCCUCAACAGCAUUAUUUUUAGGGAAAGUAUCAAACAAGUACUAGGUCACAUAUGCCCACUUCUUACAAGUAGCAGAGCACAAUACUAGAAGUACACUAGCACAACGACAGCAAAAGCCACCAUUAAGGUGAGCAUGUUGUAUUACAAGCUACCAAGCCAACAUUCACCUCUACAUAGUAAAACACUCUUCCAUGUACUGUUGCGACUUCCAUUAGCGUGAUCUGUCGAGGCCAAGCCUUGAGCUGAGCCAUUUGCCGACAUCGUCCAUCUCUUCAGGGAUGGUAUAGUGGCCUAGCCUGCAUCAUCAUAUAACUUGUUAAUACUGCUAUAAUUUUGGGAGAGUAAAAAAGGUGUUUUGUAAUGUGUUAUGUAUGCAUAUGCAUUUGUACCCAUUGUAGGAUUUGAAAUUCAGAUACAAGAACCCCGAGUUACGCAGAGUGUCGACUGAUCUCUCAGCAUUCCUGUAGGAUACAACCUCAUCCACUGCAAGAACAUACAGAAUUUAGAACAGACUGAUGCAUUGACUAGGAGUAAUAAUUAACUAGUAAAUUAUACUGUUUCUGGAGGGAAGGCUUUUCAUGGAUCAACAGCUUAAUGUGUUACCUCUUCCAUGACUUAGUAAGAUAGGCAAGGAGGAAGCUCUUCUUGCAGCCAUGUGUGAGCUCUCCGUCUUGCUCCUCAGGGUCCUAGAACAAACAUUGGAGUCAUGAAAAAGUAGAGACAACGUGUUUGGAUUAAUAUUUCUGCAUUAUUGGAUAUCAAAGUGGCACCUGGAGCAAGGGAGCCAGCCACUCAAGCUGAUGACCGCACUGAGUGUGAUUGGAUAUGGCAUGCUAUUCGCGAAUUUGCCGUGAGCGUAGCACGCUGCGGAGUGGAGGGCAGCAGCUGCACCCAUGCUGAAACCGCCGAUCCCAAGCUUCACUGCACUCGCAAAAUAUGAAAAUCAAUGGAAGGAAUGAUCACCAGCUUCUGUAUCUGAAGAACAUUAUCUUACUUGGUGCUAAUUCGGUACAAAUAAGGAUCACUUUAAAAAGAAAAGGAAGAAAAACCAAUUAAUAGGAUGGUAAUAUAUCUUGGUAGCUGCACUUAGGAGUAACAUGGGUGAUUAGAUUGAAGUGGUACUGGAACUAGUACCGUCAGGUGGCUCUGACGACAACAGGUUUGCAAUAUGUGCAGCUGAAGCAUCCAGUCCUUCAAUGUCAUCACGGCCAUCCACUGAAAUGUCCUCCACAUCAAACCCUAUUUCAGUUCCAUAGAAACGUUAACCAAUCAGAUUUCAGACUUAAGAGUAAUGGUAAUGCCUCCUAAGUUUGCAGAUUUUAGAGAGAUGGUAGCAUAGUGAUGAUGAAGAAGAAGCUCACACGCAGUGCAAGGGAAUCCGCCGAAUGCCGUGACAGGCCGGGUUGCUGCAGUUGGGCAAAUCCACUUGAUCUACAUGACAUAAGCUUUAAGGUGAAUAAACUAUUUUGCAGUAAGAAUCGUUUCUAGUUGCUGCUGAACAUGAUAAGCUACAGUGAUCUGGAGACAGUUACAGGCUUACAGCUGUUGAAAGAGACCGUUGUGUAUCACUAGUGGAAUAAGGAAAAUGUAUAUGUCAUGUCUAUCUACAUCUAUCAUCUGUGUAUGCGUGUCUGAAGUACAAAGUAUCGAUGCUUACAUUUGGCAAUGAAAGAGAAUCCAGGAGCUGGGACCAGCUGAAAAGUUCAGAAUGAACAAAACAGAGAAAAGGGAAACAUAUCAGUGCACUAUAUCAGGAAAAGCAUUGCAGCUGCAAGCAACUAGUAAAGAUAUUCUGUUCCAGAUUCUCUGAAAUUUAUGGAUUAACACAUCAUAUAUAUGUAUAAACAGAAAACGUCGGCUAAAAGUAUCCAAGAGAAAAGAGAAUAGGGGAGAGUGGAGAUAGGAACAUCUGGAACUGCAAAUUGGAAUAUAUAUAAGAUCAAACAGAAGAGGAAACAGAACAGUAGUGAACAACUUUUUUUUUUCAACAAGUUGAGCAAGUUGCCUGAAUUUCAUAGCUUAUCUGAAGGGAAUAAACGAUUAGCUUCCUUUCAAAGAAGAUAAUAAUAAUGUGUAAGUAGACCAGUUGUUGAUCUUUUCAGUUACUGGAGAUAAAGGGGACUAAGUGGAAAAAGAAUGAGCAAUGGGUAUCUGCAGCUGAGGACUGAGGGCUGAGGUUAACUUGGUAAAUGCAUGGUACCAAACGAAAACGACACUCAGCUAGUUACUUUUCAUUUUGUUUGCACCCGGAGCCAGUACUUACCAUUAAAAAAACUCUACUCCCUCCACCCCAAAAUAUAAGAAUCUAGGACUAGAUGAGACAUUUUCUAGUAUUACGAAUCCGGACAGGCUACCUGUCCGGAUUCGUAGUACUAGGAGAUGUCCCAUCCGAUCUUAGGUUCUUAUAUUUUGGGAUGGAGGGAGUAAUUUUUAAUCGAGUGAUACUUCAAUUUAGUGAUUUAUCAUAAAUAUGGUGUUCUUUACAUGCUUUGUGCAGACCUUGGGACAGGAAAUUAGGCAUCUUUCAUGAGCGACCUACUUUUAUGCAAUAUUCAUAUACCAUUAGCCCACAUCAAUUAGAAGUACUUGACAUUCCUCUCCACUUCUGGAUGGAAAGUGAGAGCAUUAUCUAUGUCCUUGGUGGCGCAGAAGGAUAUUAGGUGUGUUGUGUGAAGAAGGACAAGGAAAACAUUUACUUUGGGUAAAGCAAUACUAGGAAUAUAUGCAUGCUUGGACACACAAAAAGGAGGGCACUUCAAUCAUUUCUAGCAGAAAGAAACAAGGGAAUAAAGUGUUUGUAUCCACAAUUACCAUGAUCUAGCUCUCCUCCUAGCUUGCUUUCCAAGUAUAGUUUAUUUGUUAUUCUUUUGCAUUUGCAGAAGAUAGCAUUGCUCUUUUUUUUUUCAGGAACGCGCAAAAGGUAGAAGGUACCAUGCUUGAAGGAGCAUGAGUAAACAAGCAAAGUUUGGAACGAAGAGGCAGUGGCUGUAUAUCAAGCUAGCCACUAUAUAAUACCUUGCACCAUUGUCACCUAGACCAUGGAGCCACACAAUGGUGGCUUGGUGCCUUCCCUUUGGCCUCACUAUAUAGGUCCUCCCAUACUCGACUCUCCGACUGCCCCAUCCACCUGAAUCAAAAAUCACAUCAUGCUCAGCAUUGUUCUUUGGCACCUGUGGUUAUCAUGAGGACUUGAGGUUAGAAUGGAGUAGUCAGAUUACCAGAAGAGCUGCUUCCAUAAUAGCUCAUGAUGUUUUCUGCACCAAGUGCUCUGUUUACUGAUGCUGCUAAGGUAUAGAACUAGUUGUGUAUGCACUGAAUUUAUCGAAGAGUAUGAAGUGCACAACCCCAGUUGGUCUGUAUUUAUAGUGAAGCUCUGAAGAGGGAAUAUAUGUCGGACAAUCCCUUGAAUCUGCAUCGCAGGACAGUGCGGCUUUUCGCACUGUGCUCGCUGCAAGCUGUCAUGGGAUGAGCAUCUUGAGUCUGGAAUGCUCAAGGGAUGGGCAGGAUAAAAAGGAUUUGAGGCAUUUUUCUCUGGAGCUAAGAAUCCUAUGCAAUGCUGACAAACCUUGCACACAGAGAUACACACAUGGUGACAGAUGCCUAAAGUUCCCAUGCAAGCAAACUAAGGCGAUCGAUUUAUAUUGCACACAGAUUUAUCAUGAUGCAUCUUUGGCAGUGGAGAGGGAACCAUAAUAUAUAAAUGUUGUUUCCUGUCUUUUUUAAUCUCAUUUUGUGUCCACCAAGCAUUUCUAUGCUUAUUGCAUGGAGUACUAAUGCCCACUGCCUUCUGCCCACAAAUUGGUGCAACUCCGUAUGGGACAACCUUAGAUAAAAUGCAAGGAAUAAUCAUAAACAAACUUAUUGUCCGGCCAUUGAGCUUUUCUUUUGACAUCUAGUUUCCAGUUACUGCUAGAUGGAACUGAUAAGUUAUUGCUAGAGGUAUCGUGCAUAAAUCCGUGGACUUUCAGAAAGACAGAAAACUUAUUCCAAUGGAGGAAAUUCGACGCGGAAGAAAAAGCAGAAAGAAUUGUUUUUUGGGAAUACAUAGAAGAAUUGUGCAUCGUUGCACUAAGAUUAGGAGAAAGCAAAGCAGGAAGAAUUAUAUACCACAACUUGUGUCGGUAUACCAUCACAAUUACAUCGAUAGAAAUAUCUAUCAGGUGUCGACACCAAAUCAACAUGGAUAUGGGAACCAAAUCAGGUAGAAAUGAAAGUCCACUUGCAGGUUGCAGCAUGAACGUGGUGCACUCUUCAUGAAGGUACAGAUACUAACUUGCAACAAAUGUUCUUACCGUGUUGCUGCUACAGUUAAAUCAACUGCUAAAUGCAAACCCUUGAAUUAGUCUAGGCGCUUAUUAGGAACACCAUCUGAUUCUUUUUCUUUUGUAAAAAAGGAAAUACUCCCCACAUCAAUAAGAAGAGUACAGUGGUGAAAUACAAAUCAGAAAUGUUCCUGAUUUUGUGUAAAAAGAAAUUGUCUCAGCCAUGAUACAAUAUUUCCUAGUGAAAUUGGUCCUGUUUACAUGUUUAGCUAUGUGAAUGAAUGCUACUAAACCAGUAUGGAAACUAUAAUCUUUUUUUUCCUCAUUUGAGGUGAGUGUGCUUUUCUCUAGGUUUACUUGCCAAUAAAGGCGGGUACCUUUGCCAGUAUGCUUGAUGCUUUUGUAAUAUGGAGCACAGUUGAUACCUUCUCAACAAUACAAAAUAAAGAUGGGGGUAGAGAAAAUCAAAAGUCAACUAAAACUGACCUCUAAUGAAAAACGUUUGCAUCUCUUUUUUAUUUAAGAAAAAGGUUUGCCUCUGGGGUUCUACUGUGAUAGCCCCACUACAAACAGUAAGAACCAUAUGCCAUUCUCCUUUUUGUUUUUUAAUGAUUGGGAUGGGUAAUGUGGGGGGCAGCUCAAGCCAAAAUAUGUGAUGUAUAUGUCAUUCUUGUCUCUAUCUUAGCUAGCAUCAGAGGUUUGAGGCUGCAGCAAGCUAGAUGAAUCUAUUUCAUCAGAUUGGGUCAUUAGCCACCUGAUCUUGCUUUCUCAACUGCAAAUUAUAGGCCUAUGAUUGUGUUGUGCCCUAGUACUAGGAGCCUGCACAUUCCUUCCUAUGCUUAUAGUCCAUUUCUUUAUUGCACAUGCUUAUAUGAAGAGCAAUGUUUUAUGUAAAGUCAGAAAAAAAUAUUCUCAAAAAGGCCAUGCACAAAAUAUGGGAUUUGUUGUUACUAAAAAAGGCAUACAGUUAAGGAAGAUAUGAGAACAGGAAAGGAUAUAUUGUGCUUUACGUGUUCUCCAUUUCAUUCAUGCUUAACUGAGUUUACAUAAUCGGUAUGCUCACUCCUGUACUACUGCUGUUAAGAGGAGGAUACAGAUGGCAGUAGCCAAGAAUUCUUGUGACUACAGUUCCUUGCGAUCGGGUUUCUUAUUGCAGAUUCAGUUAGGUAGGAUCUCCUGAUUCAGCACCCACUAAGGUCAAUUCACUGAACAAAGCAGGCAAAUAUUAUUCACUGUAAUAAGAAGUCCACAUCAACGCUUAACAGAAGUCAACUUACAGGAUGCUAAGAGGGAAUGUUCCUACAUGAAAGAUCGCGGCUGCCAUUAGGAAAAUGAAAAGAGAAAGAGGCUGAACGUAAUCUGAGUUACUGACUUACCAAGUGGAGAAUCUUCCAGGACGAAGCCGUGCAGGAAGCCCAACUCGCAAUUUUAAUCCGAUGCAGUCUGGUGCACUUUGAGUUGGUAAACAGUUAAUCAUCAUCAGGGAUAAUCUUGUCUUGCUUGUUGUUUGCCACUUUUGUCGGAUGUACUACAGUAGCUUCUUGGUUUAUUUUGUUUUCUUGAAUACAUGGAGAUCUGCAUAUUUUAAUACUAAUAAGAAGAAAACAAUGAGGAAAAGAACCAUGUACAACACACGCUAAGUUCCAAGAACCAUGCGUUUAUUUUUUCUUCUGUUACACAACAUUUCUAGCUUGCACUUCGAUAUGGAAUCGUAAGAAUGGAAGAGAAACAAAGAAUUCAGUUUAUUA